CCUACGGGAGGCUGCAGUGGGGAAUAUUGGACAAUGGGCGAAAGCCUGAUCCAGCCAUGCCGCGUGUGUGAAGAAGGCCUUCGGGUUGUAAAGCACUUUCAGUGGGGAAGAAAGCCUUGGGGCUAAUACCCUCGAGGAAGGACAUCACCCACAGAAGAAGCACCGGCUAACUCCGUGCCAGCAGCCGCGGUAAUACGGAGGGUGCGAGCGUUAAUCGGAAUUACUGGGCGUAAAGCGCGCGUAGGCGGUCUGAUAAGCCGGUUGUGAAAGCCCCGGGCUCAACCUGGGAACGGCAUCCGGAACUGUCAGGCUAGAGUACAGGAGAGGAAGGUAGAAUUCCCGGUGUAGCGGUGAAAUGCGUAGAGAUCGGGAGGAAUACCAGUGGCGAAGGCGGCCUUCUGGACUGACACUGACGCUGAGGUGCGAAAGCGUGGGUAGCAAACAGGAUUAGAUACCCUAGUAGUC
rnacentral:rRNA from 1 species